ensembl:miRNA
ACAGGCACGGCCAGUUUGAGCAUUUUCACUGAAUUGCCAAACCAGUUGUGCCUGUAGA